rnacentral:rRNA from 1 species
GACGAACGCUGGCGGCGUGCCUAAUACAUGCAAGUCGAACGCACUCUCGUUUAGAUUGAAGGAGCUUGCUCCUGAUUGAUAAACAUUUGAGUGAGUGGCGGACGGGUGAGUAACACGUGGGUAACCUGCCCUAAAGUGGGGGAUAACAUUUGGAAACAGAUGCUAAUACCGCAUAAAACCUAACACCGCAUGGUGUAGGGUUGAAAGAUGGUUUCGGCUAUCACUUUAGGAUGGACCCGCGGUGCAUUAGUUAGUUGGUGAGGUAAAGGCUCACCAAGACCGUGAUGCAUAGCCGACCUGAGAGGGUAAUCGGCCACACUGGGACUGAGACACGGCCCAGACUCCUACGGGAGGCAGCAGUAGGGAAUCUUCCCACAAUGGACGAAAGUCUGAUGGAGCAACGCCGCGUGAGUGAAGAAGGUUUCGGAUCGUAAAACUCUGUUGUUGGAGAAGAAUGUAUCUGAUAGUAACUGAUCAGGUAGUGACGGUAUCCAACCAGAAAA